rnacentral:rRNA from 1 species
AUUGAACGCUGGCGGCAGGCCUAACACAUGCAAGUCGAGCGGAUGAAGGGAGCUUGCUCCUGGAUUCAGCGGCGGACGGGUGAGUAAUGCCUAGGAAUCUGCCUGGUAGUGGGGGAUAACGUCCGGAAACGGGCGCUAAUACCGCAUACGUCCUGAGGGAGAAAGUGGGGGAUCUUCGGACCUCACGCUAUCGGAUGAGCCUAGGUCGGAUUAGCUAGUUGGUGGGGUAAAGGCCUACCAAGGCGACGAUCCGUAACUGGUCUGAGAGGAUGAUCAGUCACACUGGAACUGAGACACGGUCCAGACUCCUACGGGAGGCAGCAGUGGGGAAUAUUGGACAAUGGGCGAAAGCCUGAUCCAGCCAUGCCGCGUGUGUGAAGAAGGUCUUCGGAUUGUAAAGCACUUUAAGUUGGGAGGAAGGGCAGUAAGUUAAUACCUUGCUGUUUUGACGUUACCAACAGAAUAAGCACCGGCUAACUUCGCG